rnacentral:rRNA from 1 species
AGCGAACGCUGGCGGCAUGCCUAACACAUGCAAGUCGAACGAACUCUUCGGAUUUAGUGGCGGACGGGUGAGUAACACGUGGGAACGUGCCUUUAGGUUUGGAAUAACUCAUGGAAACUUGUGCUAAUACCGAAUGUGCCCUUCGGUGGAAAGUUUUAUCGCCUUUAGAGCGGCCCGCGUCUGAUUAGCUAGUUGGUGAGAUAAAGGCUAACCAAGGAGACGAUCAGUAGCUGGUCUGAGAGGAUGAUCAGCCACAUUGGGACUGAGACACGGCCCAAACUCCUACGGGAGGCAGCAGUGGGGAAUCUUGCGCAAUGGGCGAAAGCCUAACGCAGCCAUGCCGCGUGAAUGAUGAAGGUCUUAGGAUUGUAAAAUUCUUUGUCCGGGGACGAUAAUGACGGUAACCGGAGAAGAAGCCCCGGCUAACUUCGUG